CUCCGCAUUAUCUUCAAACCAACCUCCUUGUUCCUCGUGUUUUAUUAUCCGGGUUUCUUGUUCCUUGUGUUUUAUUAUCCGGGUUUCU